rnacentral:rRNA from 1 species
AUUGAACGCUGGCGGCAGGCCUAACACAUGCAAGUCGAGCGCGAAAGGCCUUCGGGCUGAGUAGAGCGGCGGACGGGUGAGUAACGCGUAGGAAUCUACCUGGGUAGUGGGGGACAACUUGGGGAAACUCAAGCUAAUACCGCAUACGCCCUAUGGGGGAAAGUGGGGGACCUUCGGGCCUCACGCUAUCAGAUGAGCCUGCGUAGGAUUAGCUAGUUGGUGAGGUAAAGGCUCACCAAGGCGACGAUCCUUAGCUGGUCUGAGAGGAUGAUCAGCCACACUGGGACUGAGACACGGCCCAGACUCCUACGGGAGGCAGCAGUGGGGAAUAUUGCGCAAUGGGGGCAACCCUGACGCAGCCAUGCCGCGUGUGUGAAGAAGG